GUACUCGGGUGUCCUCCAGCUAGUAUUCCGUUCCAACCGUUUCUCUGGCGACCGUUCGACCUGGAUUCGAGCCCCCCAUAAUGGACGCCACUUGCUGAGACCAGUUUGGUGGGGGAGACCCUAACCCAGUGGCGCUAGAGGAAUUAAAGACACACACACAGAAAUAUAGAGUAACAUAGAACGUCGAUUGUCCUGAGUUCCAGAGCCUCAAAGAGCAGCCUGCAUAACUGUGGGAGAAUAGUAAGCACUGGACACAAAAUGGAAAAGCUGACCUUCUAGUACAGCAGAGCAUGAGCAGUGAGUGAGCAGUGCCCGUGCGGUGUCAGGCGGCCUCCACGGUAUAAGUUGAAAACAUUCAAGUACGGAAUAAACCAUUACUGCGAAUACGCUCCUAUGACACAAGAACAAUCUCUGAGCUUCUUUGAGGAUGUCCAGAUGACUGCUGACUGCACUAAUUGCAUCAAUCAUGCAUCCAUACAGGACUGCCACAAGAACAUGAAGUCCAGAGCUCCAGCAGCUGUUGGAACCACGAUGUGACCCUGAAGGCAGGAAACAGCUUUGGAAGCUCUCAAGAUGAUGCCAAAGAAAGACAAGAAGCAUACGUGGUCAACAUGGAAGUUUAAUUUGGACCUUACUCAUUCAAUAGAAGAUGGAACUUUUGAUUCUGGAAAUUUUGAACAGUUUCUAAAAGGUUAAAAUCAAUGGAAAAACUGAAAAUCUCACAGACGUUAACAGUGAAUGCUUCAAAAAUAAAAUCACAGUUGUUUCUGAGAAACAAUUUCUAAAAGGUCCUUAAAAUGCCUCACCAAGAAAUACCUCAGGGAGAACAGUCUUCGUGAUUGGCCUUGACUGGCUGCAUCCUGCAAGGAGCCUCACGGACCUCACUAUGUCCCGAUCAGUCACGGUGAAGAUGGGUGAGUCUGAGGAGCAGGUAAAGCUUCCUUCCCAGGGCUUUGCUUACCAAUACAACAAAUCAAACAUACGCGAGAAAGAAACAUCUAGAAAUUGACUUUCAGUUUAUUGGUGAAUAAAAACAUUGUACUCUUUAAAAAAUUAAUUCCUGAAAUUAAUCUUUCUUAGAAGGCUCACCUUUCUUGAGUCUCAAAUUUCGUCCCUGUUCCAGAAAGAAGGUGGACAAUAUGACCUCUGUGGUUCCCUUUAGUGCUAGCUUGCUGAGGAUAUGAAUUCUCUUCUGGAAGUAACC